rfam:Stegodyphus mimosarum contig33470, whole genome shotgun sequence.
GCCUUCGUGGUGUAAUGGUCAGCACACUGAGCCGGUAUUUCAGAGGUCCGCGGUUCGAUUCCCGGCGAACUCG